CAGUGUUUAACAUCUCCACACAAAGUUUUAUAAGCAACUAUAUAGAAGUACGAGAACAUCCCUUCAAACUUCAUUAGCAAAAGUAGCAAAAGCAUGCCUACACCCCUUCAUCAGCAAAAGCAAGCAAACAUUCAUAGUUAGCAAAUUGGACAGACAACAUAUUGCAUAUGGCAGUAAUCCUCAAUUUAACACGCAGUCAUCAGGUUUAACAAAAUUAUUAACUCAAAUACAGAGCCGAGCAACUCUUAACCCAAGCAAUAAUCAUAAAUCACACAAAAUUGCAUACAGUCCAAGUUCCAACGUAAUAUUUUACUAGUUUAAAAUUAAGUACAGGAGUAUAAAAAUUGCGUUCUAACCUUUUAUUUGAUGAUACUUGGAUCAAUAUCUUUGUCGUAACACAUGAUUCGACUUCUAUAUAAUAUUAUUAAUGAUGUUGACAAGCUAUUUUAAAAUGAUCUCAUAUCUCAGACAUUUUAUUUCUCCUCGCAUUUUCUAUCCAUUUUCAUACCUUCAUGGUCAUCCUCUAUUGAAAUUGCAUCAUCGGCUUCUUCUAGCAUUAGAUUCAUAUCUGUAAAAUAAAAACGAAAAAGAAAAAGAAAAAGGAAAAGGAAAAGAAACAACUGAGGAAGUGAAACUAUAAAAAAGACACAACAUUGUAGUACAAGUAACGAAAAGAAAAAGCUAUAGUUAAUUUGAAUUCAUAUAGUUAAAAUAGCCAAUAAGAAUAUAGUUUAUGCACUAUAAACUAGCAAGAAAAUUUCACCUACGUCCAUUUACUUUAGGCUACUGCAAUAUUUUCCUACUCUAACUCCCAAUGUCAAAGAACAACAAAACAUGUUUCACCUACAUUAGUACAAUUGGAAAUAUAAGAGACGCAAACAAAAAUUUUCCUUCUUUUAGAAAGCUUCAAUAAUCAAGCCUUGUAAACAAUAACAAAAUCUCAUCAAGAUCUUGAGAAUACACAUCAUAUCUUUAUAUGAAACAAUAAAAACAAAAUCAAGUCCUAGAAAUUAAAAAACUAAACUAAAAUGUCAUUUUAUAUCAAGAAUACACUUCUAAUCAUGAUAUGAAAUAGCAAAUCAAUACAAAUAAAAUUAUGAGAGGUACUACAUGUAACUUCUUGUGUACAUAAUGCAUUACACCCCCCUCACAUGAAGGGGGUUCGCAUAUUUUUUAUUGUAUGCGGCCCCCUCCAUGUGAGAGGGUGUAAAGGAUUAUGUACACAAAAAGUGUACAAGUAGACUAAUUCUAAAAUUAUACCCUAGGUACUAAAAUAAAGCAAAAUCCAAUCGCUGAUCUGAAAAAUGCACAUCAAAUCACAACACAAAAUAAUAAAAUGAAAAGGAUAAUGGAAGAAACUUAUGUUAAAUAAAUAUGAUUGAUGAAACCUAUGGAAGAAACUAACAUUAAAUUUGAAAAGCUCUAAUACCACUUGAAAAUAACUAGUUCGACUUGAAGGUUCUAUUUAGUCAAUUUAUUUUACACAACGCGUGGAAUUACUGUCAAAACUUUUUAAUUGUUUGGUUAAUCAAGCAAGUCAAUUUAUCCUAUAUUGAAUUGCCAGAAUUUGUAAUAUAAAAGCAAUAAAAAACACAAGAAUUAUUGACAGAGAAAUCCAGUUGGGUAAAAACUCUGAUACCAAGUAAGUAACCUCCACUAUAGACAAUGAUGAACUUACAGUGCGAUCCAGUCUAGAAAAUUUCAUUAGACUCUCUGAUCUACUUCCUCCAAUCUCCAAGACCCACUGAAUGUGUUUUACUCACACAUGUGCCCGAUCUUCUUAAAUUGUCUAUCUCCAGUGGAUCACCAAGAACUCUUUGUUCUUGUACUCUUCCUGUGCUCUUGGUCCAACCUCUCUCAAUCUUCAGUAACCUUUGAAAUCUCUUAAAAAAUUACCUCAUGUAUAUGUAUAGGAAGUGGGUGUUUUUGAUUAUAUGAAGUUGAUGUUUUUCUCAAAUAUAUGCUUGUAUGAAUUUAAGAAUUAAUGGAUAAAUCAAA
rnacentral:lncRNA from 1 species